AGAGGUGUGCGAUUGGCUGCGCCAUAGUGACGUCGUUGCUCUCCGUCGCAGCCGAGCGCGCGCACAGAAGUUUAUCUCCGGCUCCGAAAUGGGUAGGCCACACGUACUCCUGAGGAGCAGGCAGCUUUCGAUCAGCAACGCCGCGAGCAGAACCGGGAACGAGCUCGUGCGUUGCCGAUGCUGCAGCCCGGGCACAAGAACAGGCUCGUGCAGCCGAGCGCAAGCCGCAACUGCGUACCGAGGAUCCGGCAGCCUUCCAAGCUGUGCUACAACGCAGAGCGGAAUGCAAGCGGCAGUGGCUGGCGGAUGCCGCCAACCAAGAAGCAAUAAUUCAGGAAGACUUUAACCCAGUGAUAAACACCGGGGCCGCACGUUUUAGCUUCGCUGGUUAACCAUCUGUACGGUGUGCUUGGGCGGUGAUUUUUUACUUCUCGAAUG
rnacentral:lncRNA from 1 species